CUACGAAGGCACUCUGGCUACUAAUGAGCGUCGUGCUUGCUUCAUGUCAGUACGCCGACGACAGCAGAGAGAAGCAAAAGGAAGCAAUGCGCCAGCUGUGCCAGGGAGGACGCCGGGACCGCUGUGCCUCGUACUGCAUCAACGAGAACCACUUCACCGGUGUAUGCACGCUGCCGGCCAAGACUAGCAUGUGCAUCUGCUUCGACGCCCUCUGAUGGCGUCCGCAUCAUGACCGCCCAAUGUGUGCCUCUCAAG